UUUUUAGUAAACAAAAGUAAGAGAAACAAUGAUGUAUAAUUCAAGCAUGCUUGGUGAUCUCAAACCAAUCACAAGGAGUCCCACCCAAAGGCAAAGGGAACCAAGAUGCUCAUGUUCAAGCAUGCUUGGUGAUCUCAAACCAAUCACAAGGAGUCCCACCCAAAGGCAAAGGGAACCAAGAUGCUCAUGAUCCUUGAGGCUAUGCAAAUGCAAUGUUAUG
rnacentral:lncRNA from 1 species